rnacentral:rRNA from 1 species
UACGAAGGGGGCGAGCGUUGUUCGGAUUUACUGGGCGUAAAGGGCGCGCAGGCGGUCAUUUUUGUCGAGUGUGAAAGCCCCGGGCUUAACCUGGGAACUGCGCUCGAAACGGGAUGACUAGAGAUCGGGAGAGGAGAGCGGAAUUCCCAGUGUAGAGGUGAAAUUCGUAGAUAUUGGGAAGAACACCGGAGGCGAAGGCGGCUCACUGG